UACGUAGGGUGCAAGCGUUGUCCGGAAUUAUUGGGCGUAAAGAGCGUGUAGGCGGCCCGACAAGUCCGCUGUGAAAGUCUAGGGCUCAACCCUGGAAAGCCGGUGGAUACUGUCGGGCUAGAGUCCGGAAGGGGCGAGUGGAAUUCCUGGUGUAGCGGUGAAAUGCGCAGAUAUCAGGAGGAACACCAAUGGCGAAGGCAGCUCGCUGGGACGUGACUGACGCUGAGACGCGAAAGCGUGGGGAGCAAACAGG
rnacentral:rRNA from 1 species